CCUACGGGAGGCAGCAGUGGGGGAUAUUGCACAAUGGGGGGAACCCUGAUGCAGCGACGCCGCGUGGGUGAAGGAGUGCUUCGGCAUGUAAAGCCCUAUCGGCAGGGAAGAAGCAAGACGGUACCUGACUAAGAAGCCCCGGCGAACUACGGGCCAGCAGUCGCGGUAAUACGCAGGGGGCCAGCCUUAUCCGGAUGUACUGGGGGUAAAGGGAGCGGCGGCGGCCGUGCAAGACAGGGGGGAAAGCCCUGGGUCUAACCCCGGGAUUGCCGUUGGAACUGAGUGACUGGAGUGCGGGAGGGGCAGGCGGAAUUCCAGGUGUAGCGGUGAAAUGCGUAGAUAUCAGGAGGAACACCAGCGGCGAAGGCGGCCUGCUGGACCGCGACUGACGUUGAGGCUCGAAAGCGUGGGGAGCGAACAGGAUUAGAUACCCCUGUAGUC
rnacentral:rRNA from 1 species